rnacentral:rRNA from 1 species
UACGUAGGGUGCAAGCGUUGUCCGGAAUUAUUGGGCGUAAAGAGCUCGUAGGCGGUCUGUCGCGUCGGCUGUGAAAACCCGAGGCUCAACCUCGGGCCUGCAGUCGAUACGGGCAGACUAGAGUGUGGUAGGGGAGACUGGAAUUCCUGGUGUAGCGGUGAAAUGCGCAGAUAUCAGGAGGAACACCGGCGGCGAAGGCGGGUCUGUGGGCCAUAACUGACGCUGAGGAGCGAAAGCGUGGGGAGCGAACAGG